rnacentral:misc_RNA from 1 species
GAAAUGCGAUAAGUAGUGUGAAUUGCAGAAUUCAGCGAAUCAUCGAAUCUUUGAACGCACAUUGCGCCCCUUGGUAUUCCAUGGGGCAUGCCUGUUCGAGCGUCAUUUGUACCCUCAAGCUCUGCUUGGUGUUGGGUGUUUGUCCCGUCUCCGCGCGUGGACUCGCCCCAAAGUGAUUGGCAGCCGGCGUACUGGUCCCGGAGCGCAGCACAUGUCGCGCAAACGAGUGCCUUGGUACGGCGGCGUCCAUAAGCCCCUCUCUCACGCUCUUGACCUCGGAUCAGGUAGGGAUACCCGCUGAACUUAAGC